CUAAGCGUACACGGUGGAUGCCCUGGCAGUCAGAGGCGAUGAAGGACGUGCUAAUCUGCGAUAAGCGCCGGUAAGGUGAUAUGAACCGUUAUAACCGGCGAUUUCCGAAUGGGGAAACCCAGUGUGACUCGUCACACUAUCAUUAACUGAAUCCAUAGGUUAAUGAGGCGAACCGGGGGAACUGAAACAUCAAAGUACCCCGAGGAAAAGAAAUCAACCGAGAUUCCCCCA
rnacentral:rRNA from 1 species